UGGUGAUGAUGAUGAUGAUGAUGAUCAUGAUGAUGACGAUGAUGACGACGAAGACGACGAAUCUACGUGGAAAAGCAUCAUGAUCAUGAUCAUCAUCAUUUGUGAAU
rnacentral:miRNA from 1 species